rnacentral:misc_RNA from 1 species
UUUUUUUUUUUUUUUUUAAAAAGGAGUUUGAGAUAACCCAUGCAUGGCUCUAACUGUAGUUUUUGAGGGGUGGACAAAGAAAGUAAUGAGAGGAAGAGUGAUCAACAGAAGAAUGCAAUCCCUGCAGGAAUAAAAAAGUGCUGUAAGAAUUGAAGUAUCAGAAUUUUUGUUCUAGUAAAACAAUUUCAAAAAGGAAAAGGUUAAAGGUACCAUGGCAGAAGUUCCAGAAUGAGCUGUAGCUGGCUCAUGAUGAAAUUGGUGAGACUAAUGUUCAGCAGGGUCUAGAUUAAAUGAAUGAGUUUGAGCUCACCAAGCAAUGAAAGUUGGUCAAGAUGAAAAGAAGAAACAAGCCACAGGGUCCCUCCAGCUCAAGAACCAAGAAGUUGGAGGUUUAUAUCCAAACCCUCUAGAUGCUACAACCAAAUUUCUUGUGUGGAACAUGAGAAGGUUUAGUAAGCUUCCCAUACAGUGUCAAACUAGUUAAGCUAAGAGGAAGAAGCAAACCAUUUGUGUAGAAUCCCAAAGAUUUGAUUUGUUUUUCCCCUUAAGCUACAACCUAGCCAAUCCCAAAUCAAUCUCUCAACCCUAAAACCUUGAACAAUAACCUGAUCUAAUAUCAAAAAAUUUCAAGCCUAGCAUCCUUAGGGCAUAUCUCAAUGUGGGACAAGUAUUCACAACAAUCCAAAUAGGCUCUGAUACCAUGUUAACUUUUGUAAUUGCUUUACACAUUAAAAUGAC